GCCCGGGUAGCCCAACUGGCAGAGGCAGCGGCCUUAAACCCCGCAAAGUGUGGGUUCGACUCCCACCCCGGGCA
rnacentral:tRNA from 1 species